rnacentral:rRNA from 1 species
GACGAACCACACAAACGUUAUUCGGAAUUACUGGGCUUAAAGGGUGCGUAGGCGGCCAUGUAAGUCAGGAGUGAAAGUUUGCGGCUCAACCGUAAAAUUGCUUUUGAUACUGCAUGGCUGGAAUCAGGAUGAGGUCAGCGGAAUGUGGCAUGUAGCGGUGAAAUGCAUAGAUAUGCCAUAGAACACCAAUUGCGAAGGCAGCUGGCUAGACCUGUAUUGACGCUGAGGCACGAAAGCGUGGGGAGCGAACAGG